rnacentral:misc_RNA from 1 species
UAAAAGUCAAUAGGCUUUUUCCCUACACCUAACCUAGGCAACAACAUGCAAAGUGAAAAGACCUAGAGGAAAAAUACAUAAGGUGCUGAUCUUUGAGGUAAAAAGAAAGCAUGAUUGAUACUUCUUUCCAAUAGCAUUAAAAUAGAUAAUCAAGAAAAAUGAUUCACAUAGCCCUAAAUCCCAAUUGGCAUAUGAAAACCUAAACUCUAAAAGAAGUAUAAAGCUCAGAUUUUGAGCAGAAACGUACAGCAUGAGUGGCUAACAAAUGUUGAUUUAACACUACAAUACUGCAGGAUUAACAUGAUGACCAUGAAACAGCUCCAAAAAUAGACUAGGAUUAAUAUUUCUUGUUUCUUUUACGACGGAGAAAAUCACAACAAUGACCUAUAA